UGAAAACAGAUUUAUCUUUUCUUCUCUACCUUUAAGGUUUCUUGCUGUUGAGAAUAGUUAAGGGACGAGGAAUUCUUAUUGCCCCCAUUUUACAGGCAAAGAAACUAAUGCUGACCCCAACCUUACCGACCACUUGGAGGUCCCUAAAAACACAUGACCUUUGUGUUUCUCGGCUGUUAGUGGAAUCCUUUCUGUCUGCUCAUGAACUCAUCUUCAAACGCAUUCCAGGCCUUCAGAACUCUUCCGUGAGCGCAAGUCACUGAUUGCACUAGAAAG
rnacentral:lncRNA from 1 species